CAUAAGCUGUGUUCGAUGCCCUU
rnacentral:siRNA from 1 species